rnacentral:lncRNA from 1 species
GGUUUAUUUCGAAUGCUUUCGUGGCAUGUUGAGGUGUAACGCGCCUCUGCAGCCUCGGGUUUUUGAGACGCCACCUCGAACGCCUUGAUGUGCAUCGACAGUGAUGACAAAACCAUGAAGCUCACGCUGUCUGGCUCCGACUCAAUAUCCUGCCUCCAUGCGUUUGUCUAUAAGGGCCUCUGAUUAUGUCGGCAUGAGAAACUUGAUGAGGAAAAUACUGUUUGCUCGAGACCGCCGCCCUGGUGGAGGACACCCAGCUCAACAACCUCGUGAGUCAGACAAAAUACAUGAGCUUUCACGAUGUUAGAGAGAUUUCUGGAAUGGCUUAUAAAUAGUAGGCAAAUAUAAUACACAUGUGAAUUGUCACUGCUUAAAAGCCUUGAUUUUGUCAGUAGAGAAAGCUAAGUUUAACAUACGUUUUUUAUUUCAUUUAUUUUAUUUGUCAUUUUAUUUUGAAGAAUUUGCAAAGUUUUUUUAUGUAAUAAUUUUUUUUUUGUACAGUAAAAACAUUAAGAUGACCUUUAACAUUAUUUUCUAGUCUUAAAAUGUAUUUAAUUUUAUUUGAAUUAAUUUAUGAAAAAAAAAAUCUAAAAUUGUAUUGUAUGGUCUUUUGAAGAGAAAACAAUUGUGCACAAUGAGGCCAUUAAAGUGAAUAUAAUUGUCAAAUAUAAAUUUUACCCUACUGCAUUUUAUUUGUAUUUAUUUAUUUUUAUAAACUUUUUUUUUUUUAGUAUAAGGUGGUGUACAUUUAUUUUAAGGACAAAAAAAAUUGAGCAACAACCAGACUUGAAAGUGAAUAUUACUUUCAGAUAUUAUUUAUUGUCCCUGCUGUAUUUUAUUUAAUUUUAUUUAUUUUUUAACAAAUUAAUGAAACUUUUUAUUUUAAUUUCUGUAGAGUUUUUAAAAACAAAAAUGUUUAAAAGACAGGGGAAUUUUUAUUUUCCAUUAUUUUCUUUCAGAUUUUUAUUUUGUUAAUUUUUUUUCUGCUG